rnacentral:rRNA from 1 species
AACGAACGCUGGCGGCAUGCCUAACACAUGCAAGUCGAACGAGACCUUCGGGUCUAGUGGCGCAAGGGUGCGUAACGCGUGGGAACCUGCCCUUAGGUUCGGAAUAACUCCCCGAAAGGGGUGCUAAUACCGGAUAAUGUCUUCGGACCAAAGAUUUAUCGCCUUUGGAUGGGCCCGCGUUGGAUUAGCUAGUUGGUAGGGUAAAAGCCUACCAAGGCGACGAUCCAUAGCUGGUCUGAGAGGAUGAUCAGCCACACUGGGACUGAGACACGGCCCAGACUCCUACGGGAGGCAGCAGUGGGGAAUAUUGGACAAUGGGCGAAAGCCUGAUCCAGCAAUGCCGCGUGAGUGAUGAAGGCCUUAGGGUUGUAAAGCUCUUUUACCCGGGAUGAUAAUGACAGUACCGGGAGAAUAAGCUCCGGCUAACUCCGUG